ACGCAGCGGCGGCGGGGCGGAGGAGAGGGCGGCUCCGGGGCAGCCCGACCUCCGCGGGGAGGGUCGCGGGGCGUGAGGCGGUGGCUCGGCUGCUCUCCCCCGCCUCGGAUGUCUGCCGGGGGAAGACGACUCGCAGAUCCCGUAGAGCCUGGCCUCGCACAGAUAUUCAAGACAAUUCAGUAGUCUCAAGGUGGAUCAGCUCGGAUCCUCAUAGUUAAGCAUGGUAUCGGGGGACACUGUCUUCGUACCUGGAACGCUGAAAGAACCCGCACUGGAGCAGAGAAGAAAAAGAACAGUUUAGGUUUAAGUUGCUGCCAAAGCACUACAGUUAUAGAGGCAAUAAAUUCUUCCUUUGUACGGAUACUCAGGGUGUCUUCUCUCUAUCAUCUACAGAAUGUUUUCUUCCAGAAAGUCCUUCCUGGUAUCAUUCCACUAUGGUAGUGAUGUUUUCCAACCCAAUUAAAAGGCAAUACCCAAAAAUCAGUUGGAAAGCUAAACUUCUAGCUGCUUUAUUUUAAAAUGGUUUGGGGUUGUUUUUUCCAGUCUUUGUGAUAAGUUGGAAACUUCACAACUGUAACACAUGGAUAGCAUUAAACAUUGAACCUACCUGAGCAACUUCAUUCGUGAGUUUAACGUUCUUAGCUGCAGCAGGAACACUGAUGGAAGCCCUAACAAGAAUAUCUAGGUAGUUCAUUUUUGAGUAUUCCUGUUCCAAAAUAAAAUAUGGACAUUAGACACAGAACAGGGAAGAACUCUGACCUUCCAAAAAUGGCAGGUAGGAGAACUUACCUCUAAGAAAGUACUGUUCCACAGUCUGGAGCGCAGCACAAUAGAUGCCUUGCUGUCUAAACCCUUCAGAGGACACUUUAUGUCCACACAACGUGCAUUUACAUUGCAGUCCUGCAAUUAUAAGCUUCUACAUGUAAAUAAAAAUAUAUCCCUAUAAAUUGUUUAAAUCCCCCCCCAAAAUUAAAAGUUCAAUUAUAUGCACCAUAUUUAUGUGUGAGAACCAAACUCUGUUUGUACCGACAGCAAUAGGAAGAUACAAAGAAGAUGCUAUUACCUCUUUAUUUUAAUGUCAGUAACUCUAUGCAAAAAUCCUGUGCUGUAUAAUCUGAACUGUCAGAUUUAAAAAACCUCAAUGCUUUAUCUUAAAUCCAAGAGAUCCUUUCUUUCACCCAGCAAACUCAGAAAAGCCCUCUGAGCGACUGCAGAGAGGGCCAUCUGACAAGACUAUAGUUGGUGCAAUACGCUUACCAAGGUCUUGUAUUUUCUCUCUGAGAAUAAAGAAAAUGUCUUGCUGUCUGAAGUUUGCUUCUCUGCAACCUCACGUUUCCUUCUUGAGCUAUGGUAUUCCUUAAAAAAAAAAAGUUAAAAGAGUUUUAGUAGUUCAUCCUAAAUAUCUCCCAAUUCUGACCUAAUUCAGAGAAACAAAGAGUUCAGUGAGUGCUUUCUUGGUCCAAGAUGGGUGACAUGAUUAUGUAUCUCUACUUAUCUACACAUUUAUUGCUAAUAGUUGAGUCAGGACAGCUACUAGAAUUGGAGAGCACCUACAAAAAGGACAGCUGGCAAUGUUUUUUAAUAGGUCAAGGGGCCAUAAAGCUUUCAGUUGCAUUUCCAUUUUCAUUCUACAUAAACCACAUUAAUGUUACUAAGCUGAAAGAAUAAGAUAGUGCUACAGUCAGCAGAUGCUGAAAAAUGUCUUGCUAGACAGCCGUAACCGAAGGGCUGUGAAACCUGCUCAACAAAUGCUUUUUAUUGUAUUUGUUGUAAAUAGGUAAAAUUAAAAGAGAAAUGGCUUGCAUUUAAGAAGUACCUAGAAUUCCUCCAGGCUGGGAGAUGCUUACUGUUCUGUAUUGUUUUCUGGGGAAAAAUUGAAUCAGAUCUCAAAAAUGCUGAUGAAAUGUGUUGAAGCAAUCAGCAAUUUCAUCCUGUAAGAGCCCAUUGCAAAAACAGUCGCCGCAGCAUGGCAUCUAUCCUUGAGCAUAUUAUCCUCAUUAGCUGUUAUGAAGUCUCGUAAUAAACUUAACCCUUGCCCCAUUGUUCA